UCUUCACUGACUGAAGGCGACGGACCAUUGAGUUCUAUAAUAACUGGAGCGGCUAACUGUACUGGGGCGAGGACGCCAAAAACAUGGCAGCCAACGG